rnacentral:rRNA from 1 species
GUAUACCUACGGGGGGCAGCAGUGGGGAAUAUUGCACAAUGGGCGAAAGCCUGAUGCAGCAACGCCGCGUGAGCGAUAAAGGCCUUCGGGUCGUAAAGCUCUGUCCUCAAGGAAGAUAAUGACGGUACUUGAGGAGGAAGCCCCGGCUAACUACGUGCCAGCAGCCGCGGUAAUACGUAGGGGGCUAGCGUUAUCCGGAAUUACUGGGUGUAAAGGGAGCGUAGGCGGCGAUGCAAGUCAGAAGUGAAAGCCCGGGGCUCAACUCCGGGACAGCUUUUGAAACCGUAUGGCUAGAUUGCAGGAGA